AGGCAACCAUAAACCAUUAGGAAUGAGCCUGCUAAAAUGUAUGUUUAACGAAUGUUUUGAACGUCCAUCGAGUAACGUGAAUCAGUGAUUUCCAUACAUCUCGAUUUCUUGUCCCACGUUAAGGACCCCAGGAAACGGCAUAGUUGUGAAUUGCUUAGUUGUGAAGUUCUUCUGGCAGUUAAGAAAAAGAUAAAAGCUUGAAAGUUAAGAUGACGGGCUUCCAACACGAAAUAUUUCGUCGUCUUAUGGAGUGAUUAGCUGUAAUGGAACACGAAGGAAUGCGAUUGGGGUACGUGGAGUGCGACAGGGAAUGUUCGAUUUGAUCAUCCUAACGAGUGCACUGAUGCUACCUAAAUUCGACCUGCUACCAAAUAUACAGGGAAACUGGAACCUUUAAGAUGUGUGCGCACCACAAAGUACCCGGAUUUUGGUCCUGUCUAAUGGAGCAAUUCGUAGAGUGAGGUUUUGAAUACAAAUUUCCAGCUUUAGCA